GGAGGAGUAGCGAAGUGGCUAAACGCGACGGACUGUAAAUCCGUUCCUUAGGGUUCAGUGGUUCGAAUCCAUCGGAACCG
rnacentral:tRNA from 1 species